rnacentral:rRNA from 1 species
CAGUAGCCACGGUAAUACGGAGGGUGCAAGCGUUAAUCGGAAUUACUGGGCGUAAAGCGCACGCAGGCGGUCUGACAAGUCAGAUGUGAAAUCCCCGGGCUUAACCUGGGAACUGCAUUUGAAACUGUCAGGCUGGAGUCUUGUAGAGGGGGGUAGAAUUCCAGGUGUAGCGGUGAAAUGCGUAGAGAUCUGGAGGAAUACCGGUGGCGAAGGCGGCCCCCUGGACAAAGACUGACGCUCAGGUGCGAAAGCGUGGGGAGCAAACAGGAUUAGAUACCCCAGUAGUCCCUGUCUCUUAUAC